AGCGGAGGAAAAGAAACCAACGAUUGCCCUAGUAACGGCGAGUGAAGCGGCAACAGCUCAAAUUUGAAAUCUGGCUCUUUCAGAGUCCGAGUUGUAAUUUGCAGAGGGCGCUUUGGCUUUGGCAGCGGUCCAAGUUCCUUGGAACAGGACGUCACAGAGGGUGAGAAUCCCGUACGUGGUCGCUAGCUAUUGCCGUGUAAAGCCCCUUCGACGAGUCGAGUUGUUUGGGAAUGCAGCUCUAAAUGGGAGGUAAAUUUCUUCUAAAGCUAAAUAUUGGCCAGAGACCGAUAGCGCACAAGUAGAGUGAUCGAAAGAUGAAAAGCACUUUGGAAAGAGAGUCAAACAGCACGUGAAAUUGUUGAAAGGGAAGCGCUUGCAGCCAGACUUGCUUGCAGUUGCUCAUCCGGGCUUUUGCCCGGUGCACUCUUCUGCAGGCAGGCCAGCAUCAGUUUGGGCGGUGGGAUAAAGGUCUCUGUCAUGUACCUCUCUUCGGGGAGGCCUUAUAGGGGAGGCGACAUACCACCAGCCUAGACUGAGGUCCGCGCAUCUGCUAGGAUGCUGGCGUAAUGGCUGUAAGCGGCCCGUCUU
rnacentral:rRNA from 1 species